rnacentral:tRNA from 3 species
UCCCCGAUAGCUCAGUUGGUAGAGCGCGCGGCUGUUAACCGCUAGGUCGUAGGUUCGAGUCCUACUCGGGGAG